GAUGGACGCUGGCGGCGUGCCUAAUACAUGCAAGUCGAGCGAACGGACGAGAAGCUUGCUUUUCUGAUGUUAGCGGCGGACGGGUGAGUAACACGUGGAUAACCUACCUAUAAGACUGGGAUAACUUCGGGAAACCGGAGCUAAUACCGGAUAAUAUUUUGAACCGCAUGGUUCAAAAGUGAAAGACGGUCUUGCUGUCACUUAUAGAUGGAUCCGCGCUGCAUUAGCUAGUUGGUAAGGUAACGGCUUACCAAGGCAACGAUGCAUAGCCGACCUGAGAGGGUGAUCGGCCACACUGGAACUGAGACACGGUCCAGACUCCUACGGGAGGCAGCAGUAGGGAAUCUUCCGCAAUGGGCGAAAGCCUGACGGAGCAACGCCGCGUGAGUGAUGAAGGUCUUCGGAUCGUAAAACUCUGUUAUUAGGGAAGAACAUAUGUGUAAGUAACUGUGAACAUCUUGACGGUACCUAAUCAGAAAGCCACGGCUAACUACGUG
rnacentral:rRNA from 1 species